rnacentral:rRNA from 1 species
UACGGAGGGUGCGAGCGUUGUCCGGAAUCAUUGGGCGUAAAGGGCGCGUAGGUGGCCCCUCAAGCGUGCGGUGAAAGUCAGGGGCUCAACCCCUGAUCGGCCGUGCGAACUGGGGAGCUUGAGCACUGUAGAGGCAGGCGGAAUUCCGGGUGUAGCGGUGAAAUGCGUAGAUAUCAGGAGGAACACCUGUGGUGUAGACGGCUUUCUGGACCAUAGCUGACGCUGAGACACGAAAGCGUGGGUAGCAAACAGG